rnacentral:rRNA from 1 species
UACAGAGGGUGCGAGCGUUGUCCGGAAUCACUGGGCGUAAAGGGCGCGUAGGCGGCGACCCAAGUCAGAUGUGAAAGUCCUGGGCUUAACCUGGGGACUGCAUUUGAUACUGGGUUGCUUGAAUUCGGGAGAGGAUAGCGGAAUUCCCAGUGUAGAGGUGAAAUUCGUAGAUAUUGGGAAGAACACCGGUGGCAGGAGGCGAUCUGGACCGACAUUGACGCUGAGGCGCGAAAGCGUGGGGAGCAAACAGG